AUGUGUUGUUAUUUAUUGCAGAUUAGUAAUGAGAUCAUCUGUCUGUGCUGUCGGGAGAUUUCUCUGGACAGGAUCUUCCAGGGUUAUGUGAUCUCCAGCAAGCAGAUUCUGAAUGACUGUAUCCAGUGCUGCCUGGCUUGGAAAGAGCUCUACCUACACACCUCCCAGCUCCACCACAAAUACUCCUCCCAAGGGUGGUCGCUUGACCAGAUUACCAUAUUUGCUCUGGUGGAUUCCUUUGUGCGGAGAUGCAAAGAUCUAAUAGAGGUAAGCAAACACUACAAAAUGAUGCAAACAAACACACAUUCACAAACUGUACAUUUUCCAAAUGCAUGCAGAAUUUUUACACCCUACUUUCUCAAGAAAACACCUGGAGAAUAUCCUCUCAGAUUUCUCAAUAAUUCACAUCUCUGUGUGUCUUUAUUGCUUUCAUUUUUCGUAUUUCCCAGGACUCCUGUCCUUGCUGAGAGCUGUUUUUUAUAUCACUUGUCGUUUUUAUAAUUAUUCAUGCACAUUUUUGCUGUGUGCUCCUACUAGUUCCUCAUACUAUUGGUACUUUCCACAAAUAGGUCUUGAAACUCUUUUUCUCUUUCAACAAAUGGUUAGUGAGAAGAGAUGCUUAGCCUUCAGAAGUUGUUGUAUAUCAAGCAUAGGAGGUAAAGUGAAUUUUAUGAUAUAUUUAGUUUCAUUCUAUUUUUUUUUUUUUUUUUUUUGCAAUAAAUGCUUUCAGACUUUUGGACUUUUUGUAAAAUAGUAUAUUGAAUAUCUGUUCUAUUUUAAUUUUUGAAAAUUGAUUCUUAAAUUUUUUUUUAUCUAAAAUACAUUCCAAUUAAAAAAAAUUGCAUAAGUUUGUUUCUCUAACACAUUCUCUCUGUUUCAGGUGUGUGAGUGUCAGCAGCAGUUUGCUCGCUGGGAAGAGGGUGAGCGAGUGCCAUUGCCAUGCUUUGCUGGACGUCAGGGGUCAGAGGUCACACAGAGACUGCUGUACAUAGAGGCAACCUUUAACAACAGCCUGCAAGUCCUGCACUCUGUUAAGGACAUCCUGGAUGUCAGAAAUCCCUCUUGGCAUGAGGACUACAGCAGGUGCAGUGUGUUUGUAAAUUGAUCAGGGCACAGAGAAAAGAGAGGUACUGUGAAAUAGCUGGCUUUGAUUGUUCGAGGAGCUACAUUUUGUCCAUAUGCCUACACUGGAAGCGAGCAGUGUUGCAUUUGCUGGAAGCUGCACAUCACCUCUGAAUGUUCACUAACCAGAGACCAGUCAGCUGUGAGCUUUAGGUUAGACUUCAAGAUUAAAUCGAAAAUGCAUUCCAUUAAU
ensembl:lncRNA